rnacentral:rRNA from 1 species
GACGAACGCUGGCGGCGUGCUUAACACAUGCAAGUCGAACGGAAAGGCCCUGCUUUUGUGGGGUGCUCGAGUGGCGAACGGGUGAGUAACACGUGAGUAACCUGCCCUUGACUUUGGGAUAACUUCAGGAAACUGGGGCUAAUACCGGAUAGGAGCUCCUGCUGCAUGGUGGGGGUUGGAAAGUUUCGGCGGUUGGGGAUGGACUCGCGGCUUAUCAGCUUGUUGGUGGGGUAGUGGCUUACCAAGGCUUUGACGGGUAGCCGGCCUGAGAGGGUGACCGGCCACAUUGGGACUGAGGUACCGGCCAGAGUCCUACGGGAGGCAGCAGUGGGGGAUAUUGCACAAUGGGCGGAAGCCUGAUGCAGCAACGCCGCGUGCGGGAUGACGGCCUUCGGGUUGUAACCCGCUUUCGCCUGUGACGAAGCGUGAGUGACGGUAAUGGGUAAAGAAGCAACGGCUAACUACGUG